UACGUAGGGGGCGAGCGUUGUCCGGAAUCAUUGGGCGUAAAGAGCGUGUAGGCGGCUUGGCAAGUCUGACGUGAAAGCCCGCGGCUCAACCCUGGAAUGCCGGUGGAUACUGUGGGGCUAGAGUCCGGAAGGGGCGAGUGGAAUUCCUGGUGUAGCGGUGAAAUGCGCAGAUAUCAGGAGGAACACCAAUGGCGAAGGCAGCUCGCUGGGACGUGACUGACGCUGAGACGCGAAAGCGUGGGGAGCAAACAGG
rnacentral:rRNA from 1 species